AGAUGUCUACGGGGGGCAGCAGUGAGGAAUAUUGGUCAAUGGGAGAGAUCCUGAACCAGCCAAGCCGCGUGAGGGAAGACGGCCCUAUGGGUUGUAAACCUCUUUUGUCGGAGAACAAAACCCGGGACGUGUCCCGGACUGCGUGUAUCCGAAGAAAAAGCAUCGGCUAACUCCGUGCCAGCAGCCGCGGUAAUACAGAGGAUGCGAGCGUUAUCCGGAUUUAUUGGGUUUAAAGGGUGCGUAGGCGGUCCGUUAAGUCAGCGGAAAAAUUGCGGGGCGCAACCCCGUCGAGCAGUUGAAACUGG
rnacentral:rRNA from 1 species